GGCAGCCCUUGAGCAGGCUCAGCCCCUGUUUGGAAGCCAGACAACAGGCCUAUAGCCUUUGUCUUAAAUUAUCUCUUCCAAACUAAAACUGCCCCACUGAGAAGACUGAUCAGCUUGCACAGACCACCAAAGAGCUGCUCAACAAGUGAAUACCACCAGCCUCAGGCAAAAUAUGCACUGGGAAAAAAGCAACACCACAGAAGACACUUUUUUACACCUGCUGUGAUGACUAUCAUGUUUGUGGCAGUUGCUCUCGAGAGGAGAUUUUGGAUACAUGGAAUGCUGAUGCAAGCACAGAUGAAGAAGUGCACAGAAGUGCUGGAGUACAAUCCCUGUCUCAGCAAUUUUACAGACUCACAGUACUCUCAGAUGGGGUAAGAUCGUCUCCUUGCUGACUACUCCUCACUAAGCUUCUUUUCUCUCCAGUCUAACAUUUAAGAUCCUGCCAUUUAUCCAUGAAAGCUCUGGCACCUGUAGGACCCUCUCUGUGCUGAUUCAGCUCACUAAUAUCGCAGAAAAAAUAGUACAGCAGAAAAGCAGUAGAUGGUUUAUGCUGAGUUAAUGAGUUGAACUCACCCCUGGCUUUGUUUGCAUAGGCAAGCUGGAAAUCUCCUCCCCCAGUGAGAUAGAACUAAUUCUCAUCUCCAAUUUUAGCUCAUCUCCCACAUCAUUCUCUUCUAGAUUUUCUUUUGAUGCAGGUAAAUAACCUGAAAAGUGAAAUGUAUACCUUUUGCCCCACUCUGCCUGGAAACAUUUUUUUUUGUCACUGCAGGUGGAGCCUGGGCUGAACAUUUUCUCCCCAGAACCAUGUGGAGCUGGGCUUCAAGGGUGCAAACUGCUUGAAAAGUGGAAAAAAUUCAAAGCACACUGAAGGGCGAAAGAGUGGUUAAAUAAUGAAAUCAAUUUUUUGUGCAUCUGAUAGCCUG
rnacentral:lncRNA from 13 species